rnacentral:rRNA from 1 species
CCUACGGGAGGCAGCAGUGGGGAAUAUUGGACAAUGGGGGGAACCCUGAUCCAGCCAUGCCGCGUGUGUGAAGAAGGCCCUCGGGUUGUAAAGCACUUUCAGUGAGGAAGAACGCCUGGUGGUUAAUACCCAUCAGGAAAGACAUCACUCACAGAAGAAGCACCGGCUAACUCCGUGCCAGCAGCCGCGGUAAUACGGAGGGUGCGAGCGUUAAUCGGAAUUACUGGGCGUAAAGCGCGCGUAGGUGGCUUGAUAAGCCGGUUGUGAAAGCCCCGGGCUUAACCUGGGAACGGCAUCCGGAACUGUCAAGCUAGAGUGCAGGAGAGGAAGGUAGAAUUCCCGGUGUAGCGGUGAAAUGCGUAGAGAUCGGGAGGAAUACCAGUGGCGAAGGCGGCCUUCUGGACUGACACUGACACUGAGGUGCGAAAGCGUGGGUAGCAAACAGGAUUAGAUACCCCAGUAGUC